CCAGCUCUCUUUGCCGUAUGGCUUAGAUCAAGUGUAGUAUCUGUUCUUUUCAGUUUAAUCUCUGAAAUGCCUCGAAACGAGGCUGAUCGUGAUUAUUCUUAUUUUUGGUUAGAGGGACGGGAACACCUCUGCGUUUACGCAUGGUCCUUGACCACUGUGUCCCUGGUAUUACACUGUUUCCAGGUGAUGCGAACCUCU
rnacentral:snRNA from 1 species